rnacentral:rRNA from 1 species
UGGGGAAUUUUGCACAAUGGGGGAAACCCUGAUGCAGCGACGCCGCGUGAUUUAGAAGGCCUUCGGGUUGUAAUAAUCUUUUGUAUGGGAAGAAAAUGACAGUACCAUACGAAUAAGGACCGGCUAAUUACGUGCCAGCAGCCGCGGUAAUACGUAAGGUCCGAGCGUUGUCCGGAAUCAUUGGGCGUAAAGGGUACGUAGGCGGAUAAGCAAGUUAGAAGUGAAAUCCUAUAGCUCAACUAUAGUAAGCUUUUAAAACUGCUCAUCUUGAGGUAUGGAAGGGAAAGUGGAAUUCCUAGUGUAGCGGUGAAAUGCGCAGAUAUUAGGAGGAAUACCGGUGGCGAAGGCGACUUUCUGGCCAUAUACUGACGAUGAGGUACGAAAGCGUGGGUAGCAAACAGG